AUUGAACGCUGGCGGCAUGCUUUACACAUGCAAGUCGAACGGUAACAGGGAGCUUGCUCCGCUGACGAGUGGCGAACGGGUGAGUAAUGCAUCGGAACAUGCCCAGUCAUGGGGGAUAACUACGCGAAAGCGUAGCUAAUACCGCAUACGCCCUGAGGGGGAAAGUGGGGGGUCUUAGGACCUCACGUGAUUGGAGUGGCCGAUGUCAGAUUAGCUAGUUGGUGAGGUAAAGGCUCACCAAGGCGACGAUCUGUAGCGGGUCUGAGAGGAUGAUCCGCCACACUGGGACUGAGACACGGCCCAGACUCCUACGGGAGGCAGCAGUGGGGAAUUUUGGACAAUGGGCGCAAGCCUGAUCCAGCCAUGCCGCGUGAGUGAAGAAGGCCU
rnacentral:rRNA from 1 species